UCCUACUCUCCUUUUAGCUGAAUAAUUCUGGUCUCAUAACCCAGUGGUAAAUUAAAUAAUUAUGUGACUGGAAUCACAGCUACAAACAGCAUUAGUCAGAAGGGUCACAUCACAAAUGCAUGCCUCAUGGACUGAAACAACAUGUGUUUUGGGACAGAAUUUCGAGAGAGAACUUGGAUAGUCUGGUAAAGCACAUAAAACUUAAGAAUGACCAUCUCAUUCUCACUGUCUUCACCUUUCCACACAGGUCUGAUGUUAUACCCUUUAAUCAUCUUUGUUGGGUUCUGCCAAGCCUCCCCAAACUUCCCACACUUCUCAUUAGUGGAUCAGUGGGUAUCCUUGCUAGAGACUGACCGAUUGUGGGUACAAUGGCACGGUUGUUCUUGCUGACCACACAUCUGUUUAUACAGUACCAUGAUUGUUUCUUGAGCAAACAAAAGCAAAGACAGUGGUAAGUUGUUUCCCUACUAUCAGCUCAUGACCUACCAUAACACUUAGGACGUUUCAAGUUAUUGUUAUUAUACUUCUCUAGCUCUUAACCUAUUUCGUAUCUAUUUGUAUGUUUUUCCUAGCUAGGUGGAAUCCUGCACUUUUAAUUGAGUUUUAAUCAUUCCUCUAAAUUUUGAUAUUUGUACUUCUUCCAGAUGACCUAAAUUCUGAUUUUACUUUCUGAGCUUAAGCUUCUGGUUAUUUUGCCCAAUCUUGGAGGGCAAUUCCUUCCCUUCCUUCCUUCCUUUCUUCCUUCCUUCCUUCCUCCCUCCCUCCCUCCCUCCCUUCUUUCUUUUAUUUUAAAUUGAGACAGGGUCUCGUUCUGUCACCCAGGCUGGAGUGCAGUGGUGUAACCGUGGCUCCCCGCAGCCUCAACCUCCCAGACUCAAGUGAUCUUCCCACCUCAGCCUCCUGAGUAGCUGGGGCCACAGGCCUGUGCCACCAUGCCCAGCUAAUUUUUUGUAGAGACGGGGUUUCGCCAUGUCGCCCAGGCUGGUCUUAAACUCCUGAGCUGAAGUGGUCCAGCCGCCUCGGCCUCCCAAAGUGCUUGGGAUUACAGGUGUGAGCCACAGAGCCCAGCCAAUCUGUAUGUUCUUUACAACACUAUUGAUUUUUUUUCCACAAAAUUUCAAAUUACAUUGAUGAUGGCUAUCACUGGCAGACUAUUUCCUGCUCAGAGAUGGGUUUUCUAACCUUGCUUGAGUCAUAGGAGACUCCUGGCCAAACCAGGGAUCAUCGUAUUUUAGCAGGCCUUUGCUCUUCAACUGAGAUACUCCUUCGAGCCCGUUCAAUGCUUGCCUGCUACUUUGUGGGGAGCACCUCCCUGCUCCCUGAAUCCCCCAGGAAUGUACCUCUGGAGAGCUCCUGGUUCUCCACUUGGAAGCUGUGUUGGUAG
rnacentral:lncRNA from 10 species